CAGAACACAUGAUGAUCUCACUCCACCUUGAACUCUCUCACUGAUCACUUGAUGAUCAUAAAAGAUCUGAGGUUCUG